UACGUAGGCAGCGAGCGUUGUUCGGAAUUACUGGGCGUAAAGAGUGUGUAGGCGGUGCUCCCAGUCUGUUGUGAAAUCUCCCGGCUUAACUGGGAGGGUGCAGCGGAAACUAGAGUGCUAGAGGGUGGGAGAGGUAAGCGGAAUUCCUGGUGUAGCGGUGAAAUGCGUAGAUAUCAGGAGGAACACCUGUGGUGUAGACAGCUUACUGGACCACUUCUGACGCUGAGACACGAAAGCGUGGGUAGCAGACAGG
rnacentral:rRNA from 1 species